AUGUACAUUCCUACAAUGUUAAUGCACCAGAUCUCAUUGAAACUCCAGAAUUAAGAACACUUGGGAUAGAUUAGUACUGUGAUAGGUGACCUCUCAGAAAUCCUAGUGUUCUACAUG
rnacentral:rRNA from 1 species